rnacentral:rRNA from 1 species
GGGGGCCCGCAAGCGGUGGAGCAUGUGGUUUAAUUCGAUGCAACGCGAAGAACCUUACCUACUCUUGACAUCCAGAGAACUUAGCAGAGAUGCUUUGGUGCCUUCGGGAACUCUGAGACAGGUGCUGCAUGGCUGUCGUCAGCUCGUGUCGUGAAAUGUUGGGUUAAGUCCCGCAACGAGCGCAUCCCUUAUCCUUUGUUGCCAUCGGUUCGGCCGGGAACUCAAAGGAGACUGCCAGUGAUAAACUGGAGGAAGGUGGGGAUGACGUCAAGUCAUCAUGGCCCUUACGAGUAGGGCUACACACGUGCUACAAUGGCGUAUACAAAGAGAAGCGACCUCGCGAGAGCAAGCGGACCUCAUAAAGUACGUCGUAGUCCGGAUUGAAGUCUGCAACUCGACUCCAUGAAGUCGGAAUCGCUAGUAAUCGUAGAUCAGAAUGCUACGGUGAAUACGUUCCCGGGGCCUUGUACACACC